GACGGUGAGGAGAUCUGCCUGCUGCUUCUGUCACCCACCUGGUCGACAGGUGCUCUGGAGCCCUGGGUGGUAAUUUCCCCCUCAUGCCAUGCGGGUCCCUCCUGAGGCUGUGGGCUGUGUCCAAAAGGAUGACCUUCCCAGAUGGAGGAGGGCAGCUCUCUGGGCAGAGAAAUAGGAGUGGAUUCCAUCUUCUGCUGGAAGCUUCAGCUGCA
rnacentral:sRNA from 1 species